GUACAAAUCGAAAAAUAUAUUACUUUUUAAGUCAUUAUCCCGUAAAAAGUUUUAACAAUCUCUCUACUCCGAUCACAUACAUAUUAAAAAAAAAUGAAACUUAAAUUUCUAUAAGAAUACAUUAUUUGCAAAUAUAUUGUCAUCAUCUUCGUUUGUGUUAGACAUCAUCUUCAUCAUGAAUAUUGUCAUCAUCUCUGUCUUAGAUGAUGAAUAUUAGCAUAGUCUUGGUCAUGGAUAUUAAAAUUUGUCUUCAUUUUGGAAAACUUUUGUCAUUGGCAUUCUUCGGGAUAUUGUCUUCAUCUUUCUUUAAUAUCUCAUCUUCGAACUUCUCAAUUUCACGCUCAAAUGAUACAACGUGGUGUAUCUGUUUCACCCCAUUUAAGUAAUCUUCUAAAUAAAAUGCACACCUCCAUCAAUUGUAUUGUAAUUCUUGUUACAAUAGCCAAAAAAUGGAUUAUGAAGCUAACAUACAAGCUUGGACAGGUAGUAGAUCACGAUCCAUUACAUCCAAAAUCAUAAAUUGUUUUUAAGCUUCUUUUUAUCGUGCCAAAAUAUAUAAAUAUUUGCAUUAUUCAAUAGUCAUAAACUGUAUAAAAUUUGAUCAAAUGCACAUUUCCUAAUUCACGAAUGUGGUAUUUGUUUGUGCCUAUUUACAAGCUUUUUUAUGAGGUUAUUAUAAAUUUGUAGUGAAAUAUUUGACGAUGUACAAAUAGUUAAUGCUUCUUUAUCCUUCCCCAUAAGGUUGUGUACUCACAAAGUGGCUCUAUAUUUGUCAUGCUAAGCGUCAAAUAAGCUUAUAUUAUAAACAUAUAGAGUUCUAUAUUUUUCAAGAUAAACUUCAAAUAACAUAUUAACAAAAUUUAUUCUGGUCGACGCAAAUGAGGAUUCUUUGUAAUUUUGGGCUACGACAUUAACUAUAUUAUUUCCACAAACAUUUAUAGUUGGAUUUGAGGCGACAACAUAAAUACAAGAAAUUAAAUAUCCUUUACUUUUAUUACUACAAAUCAUCUUACCAAAUUAAAUGAUGAUAUAUGUCAUAUUGAUAUAUUAAAAUAUCAUUAAAUUUUAUUAAAUGAACAUUAAAUAUUACAUAUGUCAGUAUUUAAUUGGAUAUAAGGAUUUAUAGGAAAAAAAUGGAGGAUAUUUAGUUGAGACAUAAGUGGUUAUUUAGGAGUAGAUUAGUUAGUUUGUCGUUAAAAAAAAAUUUAGUUUCUCAUAAAUACAUUAGGCAAGUUCCUAAAAUAUUUUGCAAAUCUAAUUUUCAUUAGUUAUGUCAAAUUGGUUCAUAUAUUUUCUUUGAUAUUUCUCUUGUAAUAUUUCCUCCAUAUAUAUGUAUGGCCUUAGGACCAUUUAUGUAAAUUACGUAGUCGGUACUCUAUAUAUUUUUAGUGAUAUAUGAUGUAUCUAUCUAUGCCAAUAUGAUAUAAUUGGUACCCCAUAUAUUUUUUUUGAAACGACAAAUAAACAAAAUACACCUAAAUUAUUUCACCUAUGUCCAUUGCGAGACUGGAACCCUUAACCUCAAGAAGACAGGGCAACACCGGAUACCGCUGGGCUAUAAAAUAAAUAAAUCCCCAACAACACCAAUAUAAAUCUUCUGUGUAAAUCUCCAUCAAAUUGGGACAUCAUAACGAGAUUCAUGUCUUUAUCUCCUACACCAAACAUCAAGAUUGAUUAUCCAAAUACAUCUAAAUUUUCUGUGUUUGAAUUGAUAUUAAAAUGAAUGAGACAUAACUAAUUUCUAGAAAUUAACCAACAAUUUCAUAUCAUUUAAAUUUAUUAAUCCUUAAAUAAAUAUGAGUAAGUAUUAAACUACUAGUACUAUAAUAAGCAUAAGAUAAAUGUAUUGAUGUAUGUUCACAAACUUCUAACAUAUCAUACAUAAAUUCAGUCCUCAAGCAUUCUCCCUUCAUAAUCACUCAAUUUACCCCUUCACUGCCUCCCUACUAGCUCGUAAAUGUUGGGGGUAUGUAGGGUGAUGACGGAGAACCAAAUUUCUCUUGGAUCGUGUAAGUUCACUUUUCGAACUGAUAUUUCUAUCCUAUGCCUGAGUUACUAGAAAUCAUGUCUAGGAUAAUCCAAAACGACACUUGUGUAUCUAGGCACAGAAACACAAGUUAAAUCGCCAAAGGGUUUUGAGUUUGUAUAGAAUAAGAAGAGUUGAGAAGGGUUCUUUUACGGCUCAAUUAAAGAGUCGUAUUUAUAUUAGACAUAUACGGUUUCUUGUCUUCUAAAUUAGUUAGGAGAAUCACAUAAUUAAUGGCACGAUCAAUGGUUUCCAAAAUUGAUAAGAUUUAUCAGUUUUACCAUAAUCACCCACUAGAAUUUGGAUUUUCCAUAAAGUAACUAAUUUAAAUUUCCGAAGACCUUUUGGGGCGCUACCCCAAACCCCACGAGGGCACUGCCCCUCGACCCCACCUGCCACCACCAGGGUCUCUACUCCUUGGACUCCGCUAAGGGCGCUGCCCCAUUGCCCCAGCCAUUCUGCCAUACCCGCUUAUAAUUCGAUCAUAUAUAUGCCUCCACUCCUCAUUUACAUAACAUAUAAUAUAAAGUACAAAUGAUAAGCCCCUUAGCUCACAUUUCAGUUCUAAUUACAUAAAAUGCUCGGUGACUCUAAAAUUACCAACAAUAAAUGCUUAAAUGUAUUUUUUGCCUUUAACAAACUUUCAAGCAUAAAAAAUAGUCUGAUUUCACUUAGUAGGAACUUCAAAAUUUUGACUAGGCUUGAGCAUUGACAUCCCAACAAAACUUCAAAUACCCGACAGAUUUUUGCAAAAAUAACUUUUAUAGAUCCAUAAUUUUGUAAUAGUAUCAUUCAUUAUCCAAGUUUGGCUUACACCAAUACAUUUAAAUUGUUAGUAAUACAGUGAGUAUUGAAAAAUUCACCUCUUAGGUUGGAGGGGGAGGGGGGUUUGGUGUUGAUCUCACCGAGCUACCAAGGAUGGAGAAAACUUUUUCCAUGGCUAGGGAGUGGGGAAGAAGAGAAGAAAAAGAAGAAGAAGAAGAACUGAGCUACCAAGGAUGGAUAAAUUUUCUUUCCGGGGAGUGGGGAAGAAGAAGAAGAUAGUAAGGAGAGAGAGAGUCAACAACAUCUUAUCUAUAAGGGGAGAGAAUGGUGUUUGCCGAGCUAGCUUAGCGGCUGUCGAGCUCGAGGCUACUCCCUAGCCUUAUCAUAGGUUUAUAAGUCAAAUUAGUUUUCUUAUCACAUACGCAUGAUUAGACAAG
rnacentral:lncRNA from 1 species